rnacentral:rRNA from 1 species
AGUGCUUGCACUUGGAUGGACUGAGUGGCGGACGGGUGAGUAACGCGUGGGUAACCUGCCUUGUACUGGGGGACAACAGUUGGAAACGACUGCUAAUACCGCAUAAGCGCACAGCUUCGCAUGAAGCAGUGUGAAAAACUCCGGUGGUACAAGAUGGCCUCGCGUCUGAUUAGCUAGUUGGCGGGGUAACGGCCCACCAAGGCGACGAUCAGUAGCCGGACUGAGAGGUUGAACGGCCACAUUGGGACUGAGAUACGGCCCAGACUCC